UGGAGCUUGCUCCGGACGACCUAGUGGCGAACGGGUGCGUAACACGUGAGAAACCUACCCCGGACUUGGGAAUAACAGCUGGAAACAGCUGCUAAUACCGAAUACCUUCGAAGCGCCGCAUGGCGCAACGAAGAAAGCCUUGUGCGGUCUGGGAGGGUCUCGCGGCCUAUCAGCUAGUUGGUGAGGUAACGGCUCACCAAGGCAACGAUGCGUAGCCGACCUGAGAGGGUGAUCGGCCACACUGGGACUGAGACACGGCCCAGACUCCUACGGGAGGCAGCAGUAGGGAAUCUUCCGCAAUGGACGAAAGUCUGACGGAGCAACGCCGCGUGAACGAUGAAGGCCUUCGGGUCGUAAAGUUCUGUUGUUAGGGAAGAACAAGUACCAGAGUAACUGCUGGUACCUUGACGGUACCUAACCAGAAAGCCACGGCUAACUACGUGCCAGCGGCCGCGGUAAUACGUAGGUGGCAAGCGUUGUCCGGAAUUAUUGGGCGUAAAGCGCGCGCAGGUGGUUUCUUAAGUCUGAUGUGAAAGCCCACGGCUCAACCGUGGAGGGUCAUUGGAAACUGGGGAACUUGAGUGCAGAAGAGGAAAGUGGAAUUCCACGUGUAGCGGUGAAAUGCGUAGAGAUGUGGAGGAACACCAGUGGCGAAGGCGACUUUCUGGUCUGUAACUGACACUGAGGCGCGAAAGCG
rnacentral:rRNA from 1 species